UGUACGAACAGCGGGGAGAACCAACUUGGUUGUGCGGAUCACUAACCGCCAAAGUCGUACAGGCUACAAAGAGUGUCAGUGCUAUAUGGCAUCGCCAAAGCGUGCAGUAGCUCUGGGCAAACAAAACAGUGAAUAACAGCCUUGGUGAUAGCACACCGGGGCUAUUAU
rnacentral:ncRNA from 1 species